UCCCUCAUGAUCCAGUAGUUAGGAUAUGGCACUUUCACUGCCAAGGGCACAGGUUCAAUUCCAGGUCAGGGAA
rnacentral:tRNA from 1 species